rnacentral:rRNA from 1 species
AGAUUAAGUUAUUAAGGGCGCACGGUGGAUGCCUUGGCACUAGAAGCCGAUGAAGGACGUUACUAACGACGAUAUGCUUUGGGUAGCUGUAAGUAAGCGUUGAUCCAGAGAUUUCCGAAUGGGGGAACCCAGCAUGAGUUAUGUCAUGUUAUCGACAUGUGAAUUCAUAGCAUGUCAGAAGGCAGACCCGGAGAACUGAAACAUCUUAGUACCCGGAGGAAGAGAAAGAAAAAUCGAUUCCCUGAGUAGCGGCGAGCGAAACGGGAAGAGCCCAAACCAACAAGCUUGCUUGUUGGGGUUGUAGGACACUCUAUACGGAGUUACAAAAGAACAUGUUAGACGAAUCAUCUGGAAAGAUGAAUCAAAGAAGGUAAUAAUCCUGUAGUCGAAAACAUAUUCUCUCUUGAGUGGAUCCUGAGUACGACGGAGCACGUGAAAUUCCGUCGGAAUCUGGGAGGACCAUCUCCUAAGGCUAAAUACUCUCUAGUGACCGAUAGUGAACCAGUACCGUGAGGGAAAGGUGAAAAGUACCCCGGAAGGGGAGUGAAAGAGAACUUGAAACCGUGUGCUUACAAGUAGUCAGAGCCCGUUAAUGGGUGAUGGCGUGCCUUUUGUAGAAUGAACCGGCGAGUUACGAUCUGAUGCAAGGUUAAGCAGCAAAUGUGGAGCCGCAGCGAAAGCGAGUCUGAAUAGGGCGUUGAGUAUUUGGUCGUAGACCCGAAACCAGGUGAUCUACCCUUGGUCAGGUUGAAGUUCAGGUAACACUGAAUGGAGGACCGAACCGACUUACGUUGAAAAGUGAGCGGAUGAACUGAGGGUAGCGGAGAAAUUCCAAUCGAACUUGGAGAUAGCUGGUUCUCUCCGAAAUAGCUUUAGGGCUAGCCUCAAGUGAUGAUUAUUGGAGGUAGAGCACUGUUUGGACGAGGGGCCCCUCUCGGGUUACCGAAUUCAGACAAACUCCGAAUGCCAAUUAAUUUAACUUGGGAGUCAGAACAUGGGUGAUAAGGUCCGUGUUCGAAAGGGAAACAGCCCAGACCACCAGCUAAGGUCCCAAAAUAUAUGUUAAGUGGAAAAGGAUGUGGCGUUGCCCAGACAACUAGGAUGUUGGCUUAGAAGCAGCCAUCAUUUAAAGAGUGCGUAAUAGCUCACUAGUCGAGUGACACUGCGCCGAAAAUGUACCGGGGCUAAACAUAUUACCGAAGCUGUGGAUUGUCCUUUGGACAAUGGUAGGAGAGCGUUCUAAGGGCGUCGAAGCAUGAUCGCAAGGACAUGUGGAGCGCUUAGAAGUGAGAAUGCCGGUGUGAGUAGCGAAAGACGGGUGAGAAUCCCGUCCACCGAUUGACUAAGGUUUCCAGAGGAAGGCUCGUCCGCUCUGGGUUAGUCGGGUCCUAAGCUGAGGCCGACAGGCGUAGGCGAUGGAUAACAGGUUGAUAUUCCUGUACCACCUAGUAUCGUUUUAAUCGAUGGGGGGACGCAGUAGGAUAGGCGAAGCGUGCUGUUGGAGUGCACGUCCAAGCAGUAAGGCUGAGUGUUAGGCAAAUCCGGCACUCAUAAGGCUGAGCUGUGAUGGGGAGAGGAAAUUGUUUCCUCGAGUCGUUGAUUUCACACUGCCGAGAAAAGCCUCUAGAUAGAUAACAGGUGCCCGUACCGCAAACCGACACAGGUAGUCAAGAUGAGAAUUCUAAGGUGAGCGAGCGAACUCUCGUUAAGGAACUCGGCAAAAUGACCCCGUAACUUCGGGAGAAGGGGUGCUCUUUAGGGUUGACGCCCAGAAGAGCCGCAGUGAAUAGGCCCAAGCGACUGUUUAUCAAAAACACAGGUCUCUGCUAAACCGUAAGGUGAUGUAUAGGGGCUGACGCCUGCCCGGUGCUGGAAGGUUAAGAGGAGUGGUUAGCUUCUGCGAAGCUACGAAUCGAAGCCCCAGUAAACGGCGGCCGUAACUAUAACGGUCCUAAGGUAGCGAAAUUCCUUGUCGGGUAAGUUCCGACCCGCACGAAAGGCGUAACGAUUUGGGCACUGUCUCAACGAGAGACUCGGUGAAAUCAUAGUACCUGUGAAGAUGCAGGUUACCCGCGACAGGACGGAAAGACCCCGUGGAGCUUUACUGUAGCCUGAUAUUGAAAUUCGGCACAGCUUGUACAGGAUAGGUAGGAGCCUUUGAAACGUGAGCGCUAGCUUACGUGGAGGCGUUGGUGGGAUACUACCCUAGCUGUGUUGGCUUUCUAACCCGCACCACUUAUCGUGGUGGGAGACAGUGUCAGGCGGGCAGUUUGACUGGGGCGGUCGCCUCCUAAAAGG